rnacentral:rRNA from 1 species
UACGUAGGGGGCUAGCGUUGUCCGGAAUCAUUGGGCGUAAAGAGCGUGUAGGCGGCCCGGUAAGUCCGCUGUGAAAGUCGGGGGCUCAACCCUCGAAAGCCGGUGGAUACUGUCGGGCUAGAGUGCGGAAGAGGCGAGUGGAAUUCCUGGUGUAGCGGUGAAAUGCGCAGAUAUCAGGAGGAACACCGGUGGCGAAGGCGGCAUCCUGGACAGGUAUUGACGCUGAGGAGCGAAAGCCAGGGGAGCAAACGGG